rnacentral:tRNA from 1 species
GUCCCGGUAGCUCAGGCGGUAGAGCAACUGACUUUUAAUCAGUGGGUCGGAGGUUCGAUUCCUCUCCGGGACACCA